CCUACUGGCGGCAGCAGUGGGGAAUAUUGGACAAUGGGCGAAAGCCUGAUCCAGCCAUGCCGCGUGUGUGAAGAAGGCCUUCGGGUUGUAAAGCACUUUCAGUGGGGAAGAAAGCCUUGGGGCUAAUACCCUCGAGGAAGGACAUCACCCACAGAAGAAGCACCGGCUAACUCCGUGCCAGCAGCCGCGGUAAUACGGAGGGUGCGAGCGUUAAUCGGAAUUACUGGGCGUAAAGCGCGCGUAGGCGGUCUGAUAAGCCGGUUGUGAAAGCCCCGGGCUCAACCUGGGAACGGCAUCCGGAACUGUCAGGCUAGAGUGCAGGAGAGGAAGGUAGAAUUCCCGGUGUAGCGGUGAAAUGCGUAGAGAUCGGGAGGAAUACCAGUGGCGAAGGCGGCCUUCUGGACUGACACUGACGCUGAGGUGCGAAAGCGUGGGUAGCAAACAGGAUUAGAUACCCCUGUAGUC
rnacentral:rRNA from 1 species